GUCUAUAAGUUUUAGCGGUGAGGGCCCUCCAGUCUGUUCGGGGCGCUUCCAACUGGCCGAUCAAAAUCUUCCACGCAGUUUUUCCCGGUUCUGUCCUCCCGCGCCAUGGCCGCUCGACGCCUCCAAUGGUCGGCGGCCACCGCCGAGCUCCUCCUCUUCCUCUUCCUCUCUGCCGCGGCUGCAGCGGGGCGCAGGGAGGUGGUGACAUCGCCUCACGGCGCCGUAGCGGCGGACGACGGGCGGUGCUCGAGGAUAGGGCGCGACGCGCUCCGCGAGGGCGGCAGCGCCGUGGACGCCGCCGUGGCCACGGCGCUCUGCCUCGGCGUGGUCAGCCCGGCGUCCAGCGGGGUGGGCGGCGGCGCCUUCAUGAUCGUCAGGCUCGCCGACGGCACGGCCGUCGCGUACGACUCCCGCGAGACCGCCCCCCACGCCGCCUCCAAGGACAUGUACGGCGGCAACGAGACGCUGAAGGCACGGGGCGCUCUCUCCAUAGCAGUCCCAGGUGAAAUCGCGGGCCUGUACGAGGCAUGGAAGCGCCACGGCAAGCUCCCAUGGAAGCAGCUCGUCAAGCCGGCCGCGCGGCUCGCCCUGGCGUUCAGGAUAUCUCCCUACCUGCGCAUGCAGAUGGAGGCGACCAGGGACGGCAUCCUCGGCAACAAGGGGAUCCGAGCCGUGUACGCUCCGAAGGGAGACCUCCUCAAGGUCGGGGACGUGUGUCGCAACGAGAAGCUUGCCAAGACGCUGAGGGCCGUCGCAGAGCACGGACCGGGCGCGUUCUAUGAUGGUUUCGUUGGAGCUCAGCUGGUGAAGGAUGUUCGGGAGGUUGGAGGGAUCAUGACGGUGGAGGAUCUGAAGAGGUAUCGGGUGAAGGUACGGCGGCCGCUGUCGGAGAACGUGAUGGGGCUUCAGGUGGUGACCAUGCCCCCGCCGUCUGCCGGUGGUGCUGGGAUGAUCCUUGUUCUGAACAUCCUUGCUCAGUACGGAAUUCCUUCUGGUUUUUCUGGUUCUCUUGGAAUUCAUCGCCUCAUCGAAUCCCUGAAAAAUUACUUUGCAGUAAAGAUGAAUCUUGGUGAUCCUGACUUUGUGAACGUCAGCGAAGUUGUAUCUGAUAUGGUGUCUCCAAAAUUUGCUGCUGAGCUGAAGAAAACUAUUUAUGACAAUAUGACAUUUGACCCUAAACAUUAUGGUGGAAGGUGGAACAUCCUUCAGGACCAUGGAACCAGCCACUCGUCCAUUGUCGACAGCGAGCGAAACGCGGUUUCGAUGACUAGCACCGUCAACUCGUACUUCGGAUCUCUGAUCCUGUCCCCAAGCACAGGCAUUCUGCUCAACAACGAGAUGGAUGACUUCUCCAUGCCGGCAAACACGUCUGCCAAUUCUCCACCGCCGGCUCCCGCCAAUUUCAUCAGCCCUUUGAAACGGCCUCUCUCUUCCAUGGCUCCGACCAUAGUUCUCAAGGAUGGGAAGCUGAAGGCUGCAGUUGGUGCCAGUGGUGGCAGCAUGAUCCCAGCUGGAACAAUCGAGGUAUUCCUCAACCAUUUCGUCAAGAGCAUGGAUCCAUUAUCAUCGGUCAUGGCGCCAAGAGCGUAUCACCAGCUGAUCCCGAACGUGGUCCAGUACGAGAACUGGACGACGGUGCUCGGCGACCAUUUCUUGCUCGACGCCGCGACGAGGGGCGACCUGCAGAAGAGAGGCCACGUCCUGACGCCGCUCGCCGGGGGAACCAUUAGCCAGUUCGUGGUGCACAACGUUGAGCACUCCGGCGACCUGACCGCCGUAAGUGACCCGAGAAAAGGAGGCUUCCCGGCCGGAUACUAAACUAGCGCGAUGUACCAUUGCCGCAGCGUCUGUGAUUGGUUAGAGACGCGACAUUCUAUAAAAUACUGAUAGCUUCAAGUUUCUCCAAAGCAUACGUCUCCUUCCGCACUUUGCCUAUAGCGUCGGCUUAUAGAGAGGGUGUGUCACGCCCUCACGUCACCUCUACCAUCAUCUAUAACGGAUGUUGCCUUCGUCACAUUAUCUUUAUAUCAAGAUACUCUACUAGAAUUAUUUUCAUCCUCUCAUAAAUCGGUCAUCAUAUUGACUCUCCUCACGAUAUUGCUAACAGUUAACUCUGAAAGAUGCGGUCCCCUUCACUCUCCUAUCUAGAUACUCAAUAUUCUCCUCAUUUUUGAAAUUACAUGAUUAUAUUGUGAAUUUUGUGUAUACAAAUCUCUCUUUUGUUAUGUUAUUUUUUUACUUCUUUAGAUUUCUAUAUCUUGAUUUAUAUAAGUGUGUGAAACAUAUACGCAGUUGCUAGUUAAAAAACAUAAGGGCACGGUCAGCGCCAGCCGUCCGAUGGGGAGAUAUUGCCAACAUUGGACAGUCAGUGCAACAUUCAGCAACAAAAAGAAAAUCACUACAAAUUUGAGUGUAGGCCCGGCCAUAAACCCCCAAACCUUAUAAAAUUCUCUCCUUUUUUAGUGUGUGCUUCACAAGAAAAUUUGGUAAAUCGGGCUAGCUUGUUCUGACCUCUUGCGAGCUCUGUGCAGCCUAAUCCGUCAUGUAUGACUCAUGAGUCACAAGCGUCAAAUCCUACGCAAAGCAGUGCGUGUGUCCUAUGGACCAAACAAUUAUGUCGUGAGAGCGCCAUGAACGGUUCCUUUUUAGCUCCAACUUGCUAAAUGUGGCAUCCUAGUCAGGCCCGUCUCUGAGCUGCCCACUGGCUCGCCGCUAUAUAGAGCACGAUAGACAAGAAGCAAACUUAAUCACAACUAGCAAUUUCAGAGCCACAGGGUGAGUCGCUAGAGCGCGAAACUGUCUAAGUGAUAAGUGAUUCAGGCGAUGGCAUCGAUGAUUGGAGGGCACUUUGUGGAGGCCUACAUACUGAAGAAGGAGUGCAGCGAGAGGAUGAGCGCAACGGGUGAAGCUGCGGCGGAGGCGCGGAGCAACGGCGGCUCCGGCAAGGGACUCUUUGGGCUGAUGGUGAUGAGGAAGAAGAAGGUGCACCCAAUAGCUCGAAAGCUUCGAGGGUCGUCAGCUCACAUAAUUGAUCAAAAUGGAUCCUUUUGAGCAAUCUUCAGAUAUAUGCAACUGGGAGUAUAUCUAUUUGCAAGACUGCACACUAAUGUAUACAUACCUGAGGGCCUAGUGCUUGGAAGUUUUAUUUAUACAAACUGAAGUUGAGACAGUACAGUGUGACUGAUGUCUUAUAGUUGUGCAAGCAGUUACAUGCUACCUAGUUUGUGUUGGAUAUAUACUGGAUUACUGAAGGGUGUAUGCGUGUGCCCUAGUUAAAGUGUUAUACUCCAUAUGUUACGUACUGUCGAUGUAAAUACCUGCUACUUAUCAGUUCCUACCAAUAUUUUUGGA